AUUGAACGCUGGCGGCAGGCCUAACACAUGCAAGUCGAACGGCAACACAGUGAGGGUUGGUUCUUACGUGUCGCGAGGCGCGGGCGUGUGAAGUAUACAGCGGACUGUAUGUUUGCGGGGGGUAUAACGUAGGAAAGGUUACUCUUAUAGCGUAUCGUAGCUACGGGAAAGAGCAGGAGCUUCUGGGACCUUGCCCUAGUGUAUGCGCCGAUGGGGGAUUAGCUAGUGGGCGGGGUAAGGGCCCACCAAGGCGACGAUCCGUAGCUGGUCUGAGAGGAUGACCAGCCACACUGGAACUGAGACACGGUCCAGACUCCUACGGGAGGCAGCAGUGGGGAAUAUUGCACAAUGGGCGCAAGCCUGAUCCAGCCAUGCCGCGUGGAUGAAGAAGGCCUUCGGGUUGUAAAGCACUUUUGUUGGGGAGGAAAAGAAGAAAGUUAAUACCUCGCCUCAUUGACGUUACCCACAGAAUAAGCACCGGCUAACUUCGUG
rnacentral:rRNA from 1 species